AGAGUUUGAUCCUGGCUCAGGAUGAACGCUAGCGGCAGGCUUAACACAUGCAAGUCGAGGGGCAGCAUAAUGGAUAGCAAUAUCUAUGGUGGCGACCGGCGCACGGGUGCGUAACGCGUAUGCAACCUACCUUUAACAGGGGGAUAACACUGAGAAAUUGGUACUAAUACCCCAUAACAUCAUGAGAGGCAUCUUUUAUGGUUGAAAAUUCCGAUGGUUAGAGAUGGGCAUGCGUUGUAUUAGCUAGUUGGUGAGGUAACGGCUCACCAAGGCGACGAUACAUAGGGGGACUGAGAGGUUAACCCCCCACACUGGUACUGAGACACGGACCAGACUCCUACGGGAGGCAGCAGUGAGGAAUAUUGGUCAAUGGACGCAAGUCUGAACCAGCCAUGCCGCGUGCAGGAUGACGGCUCUAUGAGUUGUAAACUGCUUUUGUACGAGGGUAAACGCAGAUACGUGUAUCUGUCUGAAAGUAUCGUACGAAUAAGGAUCGGCUAACUCCGUGCCAGCAGCCGCGGUAAUACGGAGGAUUCAAGCGUUAUCCGGAUUUAUUGGGUUUAAAGGGUGCGUAGGCGGUUUGAUAAGUUAGAGGUGAAAUGUUAGGGCUCAACCCUGAAACUGCCUCUAAUACUGUUGGACUAGAGAGUAGUUGCGGUAGGCGGAAUGUAUGGUGUAGCGGUGAAAUGCUUAGAGAUCAUACAGAACACCGAUUGCGAAGGCAGCUUACCAAACUAUAUCUGACGUUGAGGCACGAAAGCGUGGGGAGCAAACAGGAUUAGAUACCCUGGUAGUCCACGCAGUAAACGAUGAUAACUCGUUGUCGGCGAUACACAGUCGGUGACUAAGCGAAAGCGAUAAGUUAUCCACCUGGGGAGUACGUUCGCAAGAAUGAAACUCAAAGGAAUUGACGGGGGCCCGCACAAGCGGAGGAACAUGUG
rnacentral:rRNA from 1 species